rnacentral:rRNA from 1 species
AGGGCACACGGUGGAUGCCUUGGUGCUAGAAGGCGAUGAAGGACGUGAUAAGCUGCGAUAAGCCUCGGAUAGCGGCACUUACGCUAUAAUCCGGGGAUUUCCGAAUGGGGUAACCUGGCCCGCGUAAUAGUGGGUCGUCCCUCCCUGAAUAUAUAGGGGAGGGUACGCGAUACCCGGUGAAGUGAAACAUCUCAGUAACCGGAGGAAAAGAAAGCGAAAGCGAUUCCGUAAGUAGUGGCGAGCGAAAGCGGAUCAGCCCAAACCGGGGGCUUUGCCCCCGGGGUUGUAGGGCUCCAAUAUGGUAUCCCAAUUGUUAGGUGAAGCGUAUGGAAAGGCGCUCCAUAGAAGGUGAAAGGCCUGUAACCGAAAACAUGAAGGAGCUUAGGAUGUCCCUGAGUAAUACGGAACACGUGAAACUCCGUAUGAAUCUGCGCCGACCAUGGCGUAAGGCUAAAUACUAACUAGCGACCGAUAGUGAACAAGUACCGUGAGGGAAAGGUGAAAAGUACCGCUGCGAGCGGAGUGAAAUAGAACCUGAAACCGUGUGCCUACAAGGUGUGGGAGCCCCCUCGGGGGUGACCGCGUGCCUUUUGCUUAAUGAGUCUACGAGUUAGUGUCUGUGGCAAGCUUAAGCGCUUUUGGCGUGUAGGCGUAGCGAAAGCGAGUCCGAAUAGGGCGAACAUAGUCGCAGGCGCUAGACCCGAAACGGAGGUGACCUACCCAUGGCCAGGUUGAAGCGUGAGUAAAAUCACGUGGAGGACCGAACCGGUACAGGUUGAAAACUGUUCGGAUGAGCUGUGGGUCGGAGUGAAAGGCUAAUCAAACCCCGUGAUAGCUGGUUCUCCUCGAAAUGCAUUUAGGUGCAGCGUCGCGUGCUGACCCUCGGGGGUAGAGCACUGAAUGAGCUAGGGCCCAUACCAGGGUACCAAACUCAACCAAACUCCGAAUACCGGGGGGUGGAACGCGGCAGUGAGACUGCGGGGGAUAAGCUCCGUAGUCGAAAGGGAAACAGCCCAGAUCAGCAGCUAAGGUGCCUAAAUAGUGCUCAGUGGAAAGGAGGUGGGAUUUCAUAGACAGUGAGGAUGUUGGCUUAGAAGCAGCCACCAUUUAAACAAAGCGUAACAGCUGACUCAUCGAGAGAUCCUGCGCCGAAAAUGAUUGGCGAUAAGCACUAUACCGAAGCUCUGGAUGCACAGCUUGCUGUGCGUGGUAGAGGAGCAUUCUCAACACGUUGAAGCCGUAAGGUGACUGAUGGUGGAGAGUUGAGAAGUGAGUAUGUAGACAUGAGUAACGAUAAGCCAGGUGAAAUCCCUGGCCGCCGUAAACCCGAGGUUUCCUGGGCAAUGUUGGUCAUCCCAGGGUUAGUCGGGACCUAAGCCGAGGCCGAUGGGCGUAGGCGAUGGAAAGCUGGUUAAUAUUCCAGCACCUCCGAAACUUAAACUAGAAGGACGCGGAUUCGGAAAAGGCCUGCCGGCUGAAAGUGGCAGGGGCGCAAGCUGACGGGAAUCCUUCGGGUGCACCGGAUCCUUUAAAGAAUCUGCCAAGAAAAGUUCUAGUGUAUGCUAAGGGGCCCGUACCGUAAACCGACACAGGUGGGUAGGUAGAAUAUACUAAGGCGCAAGAGUGAAACCCUGUUAAGGAACUCGGCAAUCUAGCCCCGUAACUUCGGGAGAAGGGGUCCCGGGAUUCGUCCCGGGCGCAGUGAAAGGGCCCAUCCGACUGUUUAGCAAAAACACAGCAUUCUGCGAACAUGAAAAUGGAAGUAUAGGAUGUGACACGUGACCAAUGCCAAAAGAUUAAGGGGAGAUGUUAGCUUUCGAGCGAAGCUUUGAUCCUUCCUGGUGAAUGUCGGCCGUAACUAUAACGGUCCUAAGGUAGCGAAAUUCCUUGUCGGGUAAGUUCCGACCUGCACGAAUCGUGCAACGAGAUGGGCGCUGUCUCAACAGGGAGCUCAGUGAAAUUGUAUCCGCGGUGAAGAUGCCGCGUACCCGCAGAAGGACGGAAAGACCCUAUAGACCUUAACUGUAAGCUGUCACUGGUUUUUCGGUUUCAAUGCUCAGCAUAAGUGGGAGGCUUUGAACCGGCGCUUUAGGGCGUCGGGGAGCCAACAGUGAGAUACCACCCUUUGGUGUUGGAAAAUCUAACAUCUCGCCUUGAAUCAGGCAGAUGGACAAUGGCAGCCGGUCAGUUUGACUGGGGCGGUCUCCUCCUAAAGAGUAACGGAGGAGCGCGAAGGUAGGCUCAGCGCGGUUGGCAAUCGCGUUUCGAGUGCAUUGGCAUAAGCCUGCCUAACUGUGAGACCUACAAGUCGAACAGAGACGAAAGUCGGCCAAAGUGAUCCGGCGGUGGAAUAUGGAAUCGCCGUCGCUCAUCGGACAAAAGGUACCUUAGGGAUAACAGGCUGAUCGCGCCCAAGAGUUCAUAUCGACGGCGCGGUUUGGCACCUCGAUGUCGGCUCGUCACAUCCUGGGGCUGGAGAAGGUCCCAAGGGUUCGGCUGUUCGCCGAUUAAAGUGGCACGCGAGCUGGGUUCAGAACGUCGCGAGACAGUUCGGUCCUCUAUCCUCUGCGGGCGUAGGAAACUUGAGGGGUUCAAACUCUAGUACGAGAGGACCGAGUUUGACGAGCCUCUGGUGCUCCGGUUGUCGCGUCAGCGGCAUAGCCGGGCAGCUAAGCUCGGAACAGAUAAGCGCUGAAAGCAUCUAAGCGCCAAGCUAUUCCCAAGAUAAGGUUUCCCUGAAGGAUCGUGGAAGACUACCACGUUGAUAGGCUGCGGGUGCAAGAAUGGUAACAUUUUUAGCUUAGCAGUACUAAUUAUCCGUUCGACUUGUUU